CCCCUAGACGUUCUGGGCUGCACGCGCGCUACAAUAAUACGCACAGCGAGUAUCACCGAGCUCGAAAGGGCAAGGUAAACAAUAGAAAAGGUACUGUAAUGGUUAUAGAUCCUUGUAAUUAUUGGUCUUCAACGAGGAAUUCCUAGUAGACGUAGUUCAUCAGACUGCAUCGAUUACGUCCCUGCCCUUUGUACACACCGCCCGCCGCUCCUACCGAUUGAAUGCUCAGGUGAGCCAUUCGGACUUUCAUCAUGCUGGUUUCCAGUUUUGAUGAAGGAAAGUCUUGCGAACCUUAUCAUUUAGAGGAAGGAGAAGUCGUAACA
rnacentral:rRNA from 1 species